ACAGGAUCAUCCAGUCCGACCAUUCACCCUUCACCAAUGGUUCUCACUAAACCAUGUCCCUCAGCACAACAUCCAAACGCUCUUUGAACACCACCAGGCUCGGUGACUCCACCACCUCCCUGGGCAGCCCAUUCCAGUGCCUGACCACCCUUUCAGAGAAGUAGUAUUUCCUAACGUCCAGCCUGAACCUUCCCUGGCACAGCUUGAAGCCAUUCCCUCUAGUCCUGUCACUAGUCACACGAGAGAAGAGGCUGACCCCCAGCUCACCACAACCUCCCUUCAAGUAGUUAUAGAGAGCAAUAAGGUCUCCCCUGAGCCUCCUCUUCUCUAGACUGAACAAUCCCAGCUCCUGCAGCCGCUCCUCAUAAGGCCUGUGCUCCAGACCCCUCACCAGCUUUGUUGCCCUCCUCUGGACACGCUCCAGGGCCUUGAUGUCUUUCUUACAGUGAGGGGCCCAAAACUGGACACAGUAGUCGAGACCCCUCACCAGCUUUGUUGCCCUCCUCUGGACACACUCCAGGGCCUCAAUGUCUUUCUUACAGUGAGGGGCCCAAAACUGGACACAGUACUCGAGGUGCGGCCUCACCAGUGCUGAGUACAGGGGGAUAAUUACUUCCCUGUUCCUGCUGGCCACACUAUUUCUGAUACAAGCUGGGAUGCCA
ensembl:lncRNA